GACGAACGCUGGCGGCGUGCUUAACACAUGCAAGUCGAGCGAGGCCCUCCUUCGGGGGGUGCCCUAGCGGCGAACGGGUGAGUAACACGUGGGCAACCUGCCCUCAGCUCUGGGAUAACUCCAAAGAAUUGGUGCUAAUACCGGAUGUGACCGCUGACCGCAUGGUCUGGUGGUGGAAAGAUUCAUCGGCUGAGGAUGGGGCCCGCGGCCUAUCAGCUUGNGGUGGGGUCACGGCCCACCAAGGCGACGACGGGUAGCCGGCCUGAGAGGGUGACCGGCCACACUGGGACUGAGACACGGCCCAGACUCUACGGGAGGCAGCNGNGGGGAAUAUUGCGCAAUGGGCGAAAAGCCUGACGCAGCGACGCCGCGUGAGGGA
rnacentral:rRNA from 1 species